ACCGGCAGCUCACCCCUUUUCCCUUUCCCCUCUUCCUCCCUCUUUCUUAGCCGGUUUGAUAAGUCUCUGGUGAAAUCCCGCAGCUUAACUGUGGGACUUGCUGGAGAUACUAUUAGACUUGAGGUCGGGAGAGGUUAGGGGUACUCCCAGGGUAGGGGUGAAAUCCUAUAAUCCUGGGAGGACCACCUGUGGCGAAGGCGCCUAACUGGAACGAACCUGACGGUGAGUAACGAAAGCCAGGGGCGCGAACCG
rnacentral:rRNA from 1 species